rnacentral:misc_RNA from 1 species
UCUCCGUUGGUGAACCAGCGGAGGGAUCAUUACUGAGUGUAAAAACUCCCAAACCCUAUGCAAACCUACCAAAGUUGCUUCGGCGGACCGCCCCGGGUGCCCUGCGCCCCCGGACCAAGGCGGCCGCCGGAGGCUACAAACUCUGAAUUACAGUGGAUUUCUGAGUGGCAUAAGCAAAUAAAUCAAAACUUUCAGCAACGGAUCUCUUGGUUCUG